CAGCAGCCACGGUAAUACGUAGGGGGCAAGCGUUGUCCGGAAUCAUUGGGCGUAAAGCGCGUGUAGGCGGCUCGAUAAGUCUGCUGUGAAAGUCCAGGGCUCAACCCUGGAAUGCCGGUGGAAACUGUCGAGCUUGAGUCCGGAAGAGGCGAGUGGAAUUCCUGGUGUAGCGGUGAAAUGCGCAGAUAUCAGGAGGAACACCAAUGGCGAAGGCAGCUCGCUGGGACGGUACUGACGCUGAGACGCGAAAGCGUGGGGAGCAAACAGGAUUAGAUACCCCUGUAGUCCCUGUCUCUUAUAC
rnacentral:rRNA from 1 species